rnacentral:rRNA from 1 species
UUACACAUGCAGUCGAACGAUGAUCAGGAGCUUGCUCCUGUGAUUAGUGGCGAACGGGUGAGUAACACGUGAGUAACCUGCCCCUGACUCUGGGAUAAGCGUUGGAAACGACGUCUAAUACUGGAUACGACUGCCGGCCGCAUGGUCUGGUGGUGGAAAGAUUUUUUGGUUGGGGAUGGACUCGCGGCCUAUCAGCUUGUUGGUGAGGUAAUGGCUCACCAAGGCGACGACGGGUAGCCGGCCUGAGAGGGUGACCGGCCACACUGGGACUGAGACACGGCCCAGACUCCUACGGGAGGCAGCAGUGGGGAAUAUUGCACAAUGGGCGAAAGCCUGAUGCAGCAACGCCGCGUGAGGGAUGACGGCCUUCGGGUUGUAAACCUCUUUUAGUAGGGAAGAAGCGAAAGUGACGGUACCUGCAGAAAAAGCACCGGCUAACUACGUGCCAGCAGCCGCGGUAAUACGUAGGGUGCAAGCGUUGUCCGGAAUUAUUGGGCGUAAAGAGCUCGUAGGCGGUUUGUCGCGUCUGCUGUGAAAUCCCGAGGCUCAACCUCGGGCUUGCAGUGGGUACGGGCAGACUAGAGUGCGGUAGGGGAGAUUGGAAUUCCUGGUGUAGCGGUGGAAUGCGCAGAUAUCAGGAGGAACACCGAUGGCGAAGGCAGAUCUCUGGGCCGUAACUGACGCUGAGGAGCGAAAGCGUG